GCAGCGGUGGGAUGGAAAAGGUUUGACAGGGAGAAUUGAUGGAAAAGGUUUGACGUGUACGGUGAUACAAAAGGUGGGAUUAGCUAAACGAUUUGGAAGAAAAAGCGCUAAACCCGCGGAUGAUAAAUAUUUCAGUGAAA
rnacentral:lncRNA from 13 species